GAUGAGAACGCAGCGAAAUGCGAUAAGUAAUGUGAAUUGCAGAAUUCAGUGAAUCAUCGAAUCUUUGAACGCACAUUGCGCCCUCUGGUAUUCCGGGGGGCAUGCCUGUUCGAGCGUCAUUAUAACCACUCAAGCUCUCGCUUGGUAUUGGAGUUCGCGAUCUCGCGGCUCCUAAAAUCAGUGGCGGUGCCUGUCGGCUCUACGCGUAGUAAUACUCCUCGCGAUUGAGUCCGGUAGGUUUACUUGCCAGCAACCCCCAAUUUUUACAGGUUGACCUCGGAUCAGGUAGGGAUACCCGCUGAACUUAAGCAUAUCAAUAAGCGGAGGA
rnacentral:misc_RNA from 1 species